rnacentral:lncRNA from 1 species
AUUGCCUUUCUUCACCUGUUCUGAGCUAUCCCUGGCUUAAGAGGAACCUGAGAAUCAGUGCUCAUUUAGCGUAUACCACCUGCAUACAUCAAGGGUUUAGAUCUAGAAGAGACCCAUGCUUCCUUCAUUCAUUUGACUGAUGAGGAAACUGAGGCCCAGAAGGGUUAUGACAGUCCCCUGAGGUCUGUAGCUUGGGAGAGUGAGGACAGAGCUCAGGCUGCUGUCCUUCCCCCCACUUCCACAGCUCCCUUUCCCUGUACCCCCCCCAUCUGGGCUUGCCAUGGUAACUAAGCCUCCUCCAGCGUGGGAAGCAGUUACCUAGCAACUCCCCACAACCAGGUCAGAGCCAGGGGAGCGAGACACCACGUGCUGCCUGCCCUGGGGAAUUCAGACAUGUGCGAAUGUGACUGCCACAAACAACCCUGCAUAGAGCCUACCUGGGAGCACCUGGGUAAUGCCUGGGACAGCAACAGCCCCCGAGAAGAGACACACUGCUGCUUGGAGGACAGCACUGCUGAGACACUCAUAGGAAGCUGGGCUGUGCCUUGCCUCUACUGGACUUCUUGGUAUGGGAGAGCAUAACCACUUGUGGCUUAGGACACUUUGGGUCAAGGCUCCAUUUUCUCAUCUCAUCACCACUUCGCUGUAGUGUGCGUGCCGGUCAGCCCAUGUCUGGACAAGUCUUCAUAUUAAAGGUGAAGGAUGCAAAGGAAACAUCUGUCUGAAUAAAUGAAAAUGAUAGCUCCCCGAGCCUUUAUCUCUUGGAUUAGGACUGAAAUCCACCUGUGGCUGCAUGCCCAGAUGAAUAGGCUUCCCCUGGAGAGCCUGGAGGCUUCCCUGCAUUCCCACGCCUGGGAUAUUCCAUCCAGGCGGGCGCAUGUAUGCGCUGGGCCAGGUGCCCCCCCCUGCACAUGAGAGCAAACUGUACCUCUUCAAUGAUGUCAUGUCGGUAGCCUGAAGUCAGCCAUGGUGGGAGUUGUUCUUUUUAAAAUAGAUUUUCUGUUUUUAGUGCAGGUUUAGGUUCACAGCAAAAUGGAACAGAAGGUACAGAGAGUUCCCAUAUACUCCCCACCCCGUGUGUGGAGUGCCUCCUCCACUGCCAACAUCUUGCAUUAGGGUGGAAUAUUUGUUACAGCUGGUGACCCUGUGCUGCUACAUCACAGUCAUCCAAA